rnacentral:tRNA from 3 species
UAUAUUUUAGUGUAUGAAGCACAAUAGUUUUUGAUACUAUUAGAUAUAGUUUGAUUCUAUAAAAUAUAA